rnacentral:rRNA from 1 species
AUACGGAGGGUGCAAGCGUUAUUCGGAAUCACUGGGCGUAAAGGACGCGUAGGCGGGUUGGCAAGCCAGAUGUGAAAUCCUACAGCUUAACUGUAGAACUGCAUUUGAAACUGCUAACCUAGAGUAUGGGAGGGGGAGAUGGAAUUAGUGGUGUAGGGGUAAAAUCCGUAGAUAUCACUAGGAAUACCGAAAGCGAAGGCGAUCUCCUGGAACAUAACUGACGCUAAGGCGUGAAAGCGUGGGGAGCAAACAGGAUUAGAAACCCUUGUAGUCC